UUUUAUCACACAAUUCGCUCUCGACUCUCGGCUGCUACUGCCGCACUACACGAACGAAAUAUCUUAACGAAUCACUAAAUUUCACUGUAACACCUACACCACUAUAGCUGGAAAAAAAAAUCUUCCACUAUCAAAAGUGGGAAAUUUUAAAUUUGGAAAACCCCUUGGAAUCCUGGGCGGGCUAAGAAACCGCCUUGAAUAAUUGGUUUAUAACUAUCGGCUGCUCGGACUGUGUCAGAAGCUUCUGCGGUUAUCCUAGCUACUCGCCACGCGACACAACCGCUCCGCAGUCACGCGACUGCAGGCGUGCUCAGUUAUAUUUUGCGAGGGGCUCAUUCUGAGCUCAGCUGUGGACGGUGGCAGCCUGACUUGUGUUUCGUCCGCGGUCUUGAAUCACUCGACGACAUUUAUGAUAAACACUCUCUCAAUCUGGACGGUAAUAACUCUGCCUUGUCUAUUUAUUCGGAUUAAAAUGGUGGACGUUUCGAAGAGGUACAGAAAAUGCUGACCUAGAUUCCACGAACCUUGAAAUUGAUUUGCUAGUUGACCACCCUGGAGACCACCAUCCUCUAUCUCUCACCGACCACUACGUCUCUGGUGACGUCACACAUUCCCAUCUUCACGUGACGCGUAACAAAUAAGAGGUUGCGCAUGAUUCGAUUUUCUACUGGGACUUUUUUUAGUUGAGAUGGAAGCAACUGGGCACCAAGUUCAGAUCUGAAUCAUAAUACACCAGCCGAAACGCAUUUAUAUUGUCAGUACUUGCACCGCCGUCGCAAGGGGGCGCAAUAAUCUGUUACGAAAAAUACUGAGAAACGCCUGGGGAGUGAGCCUACAGCAGCAGGUCCGACACCUGAUAUCUAUUUCCUUAAUACUCAGGAACUAAGCAACACUGAAGGUGUCAGACUGUGUCAUGGUCAUGCCAAGAUAAUAGCGAAGGAUAGAGCAAAAGUUCAUUGAACUCGUUCUCAUUAGACUAUCAGAUGAAAGAUAUCAAGAUGAGUAGGAAUAUAGUUCCAACCAAAUGCUCCGAUUGUAAGCUAGCUGUACUUGGAAGAUGCAGUGUUGGAAAGUCAGGUAAGUUAUACUCAUGUUUGUAUUUACUAUAAUGUCGUCUUUCAAAAAUUCCUCGCUUUCUUUCUUCACUCACCACCGUUGACAAGCCAUAAGAGUUAACUACACUGCACUGACUGCACCACUACGCGCGCGCACACAGACACACUUUCUUUUUUCAACACACCAUACACCACACACCAUAGACACACAUACACUACACACUCACCCAAUUUUCUCUUCUCUAUCACACAUACACACACACCCGCGCGUACCAUUAUUCAUCAUUCCUGUUUGUACGGGACGCACGAACAAUUUACAAUGGACGCGAAUCCAAAAAUUUUGUAUUUUCUCCGCAUAUCUCGGGGCAAUCCAAUCAUCAAACGAUUCUUGCGUAGGUUGUGCUGCUAAGCAGUCAGACCGCAGGUCCCUAUGCUAACGAGCAAAAAGGCCAGAUUAAUCCAAAUCAUCUUGUGGCUGAAUCCUCCUCCUUGCAAAAUCUCGUGAUUCGUGAGAUUUUCUUUCUCUAAGAAUUUACCUGUUUUAACCUCAAGUUAAAUGAAAUAUUAUUGCACCAUCAGAUAGAGUAAAUGUUACUCUUUCAUAUUGGUCAUUUAUUUUGUAUACAAUAUUUUGUUAAAUAAGUAAAUUUCUGGCCUGAAAAUGUGCCUCAAAGCUGAAUUUUCUUCCUCUGUUUUCUUUUGCAAAUGGUGCAAAACUUUUUAUUUUGAGCCUCAAUGAUAUCUAUAUCACCAUAAAGCUGAACUUCUGUACUUUCUCACAAUGCCACUCUUGAUAUGCGGCACCUUUUAAUCGGGUCAAGAUCACACUUUUCCCACCAAGGUACAAGACGAGAUUUCUGAAAUUUUGUACUUGCAUGAAAUCCAGAGUUCUGAUUGGCUGGAUAAGGUUCACAGAACAACAGGCGCGGGGUAUUUGAGGAGAUAACCACAUGGGAAGUGUGACCUUCCCAUGAACCCAGGCACUGGAACCGUUGGAAUUUGCCAAUGGGUGGUCUCUUUGACCAAUCAGUGUGCAGUAUUAUUGUUUUCAAGCUGCUUUAUGUACUUGGCAAAUGAAAAGUGUGAUCUUGACCCCAUUAAACCAAUUCUUAUUUUGAAACCUAUAUCAUUUUAAAGCAUACAUAUUCAGCUUUAUCAUGAUCUAAAAAUCAUUUGGGCUCAAACAAAAAUAAAGUGUAAAAAUAGCAGCUUUUGUCAGGUGAAAAUAAUUAUUUUGUAGCAUAUUUUAGAUCAAAAUUUUAACUUAUAUUACAAAAUCUUUGAAUAAAUUCAAACACAUGACCUGAAAGAAUGAUUCUUCUUCUUUACAAUGAUACCAAAUUUAUGAAAUUCGAUGCACAAUUAGAGCAGCAAUGACCGAAUGAAAAGAGGUGUUUUGGUCCACAUCAAGCUCAUUAAAUAUGCAAAACAUCUCAAGUCAUGAAUAUCACUUGGAUGAAAGAAGCCACUUUCUUGGGACCUGCCGUCUGACUGUAAGUUAUCACGACGUUCGUGCGAAUGUCGGGCGUAUCAUGCAUGGUUAGACUAUGGAGUUAGAAUAUACGGUCAGUCAAAACACACAAAUAGCACGCGAUAUUCGGUCGAACUUCGCGACUCAAGGCUUGCACGAGACGUUCGGCAAACUUUCGUAAUGUGGCUAAGGAUUUACCAAAAAUGUUUUAAAGGUAUGAUUGCGAACAAAUCGUGAGUACAUCCGGUCUCGCAAAAAAGGCUUCCAAUAAAACCCUUUUUAAUGUGUCAUCCGUAUUGAUGAUAGCAUUAUAUUUUGAACGUUUUACCGAAAUGAACCAUUGUUCGCCUAAAACACAUCUGUCAAGAUAAUGUAUGUGUAUUUCAGUCCACCGCCAUUACGCAUUUCAUUCCAAUCUUAAACUUGGAUAAUAAUUGAGGGCAUUAUUCGACUUUUAAUUAAUUUUACAGUCACACCAAAGUUGGUGAAAUCGACUCCAAACCGACCGAUGAUAUGUCAUUCGAAAUAACGUAAUAGCUUUGAUCGGUCUGGAGUCAGUUUCGCAUGUGUGACUGUGGGCGCGUCUAGUGGUUCUGACUCUCGCCUUUCAAACAGAGGGUCGUGGGUUCGAAUCCUAGCCAUGGCGUGUUUUCCUGCAGCAAGAAAUUUAUCCACACCGUGCUGCUUUCGACCCAGGUGAGGUGAAUGGGUAUCCGGCAGGAUUAAUUCCUUGAAUGCACCAAGCGCCUGUAGCAGCUGGAGCUUCAGCCGGGGUAAUAUAGCGCGCCAUUGAAUAGGCAACUAUAAAUCGGCGCCUCCUAUAUAUUGACUGUAACGAUAAACAUGAUACUUCUCUUUACUCAAAAUUAUUGUACAGUUCAUGAAAAGUUCAAGAGCUUUUAUUUUUCCUUCUCCUUAAAAUAAAUCAAAUCCCGGAUUCAAAUCUCAUAUUUAUGUCUCCUAGAACAGAAAGAGAUUGGUAUAAAGAAAACUUGUUCUGGUUUAUGUUUCCCUCAAGGUGUAUCGAGAUCCCUUUGAAACCUGGGCCCAGUCUUACAAAGAGUUAAGAUUGAUCCCAUCAACCACAACUAUGGAAAGCCAGCAACGUCAACCUGUUAAACACAUGUUUGUUCUAAAGGAUUUUCUAGAUAUUAUGAUAUAUAUUCGUACAUUCUUAGUUUUCAUGAAAAUUCAGCGUGCUUUUCUUUGUUUACAGAGGACAUUGUGCAAAUUUCCUGAAGAAAAAGGCGCGAUAGCUCAGUCGGUGGAGCGGGGGAUUCGUAUUCUGGUGACCCGGGUUCGAUUCACACUUGGUGCGCUAGUGCCCUUUGGUUAGGCAUUAAUCCUCAUUACCAGGUCCUUCGGAGAGGACCUUGAGCCGUCGGUCCUCUGGUUGCUUGCUUACAAGCAUUCAUGCUGUCUUAGCAAUCAGGUAAAAAAUCCCCACCAAUCAAUCAAUGAAGUUGAUGGAUUUCCAUAUACUUGAGGUUGAUCGGAUCAGUCGUGACUCUUUGUAAGACGGGGCCCUGGAAAAUAUCCAGAAACGUAUCAGUCAUGAUAGAUGAAUAGUUAGCAUCGGGAAACAUGUAACGCCUGAGGGUAUACAUGACCUACCUGACUUGUCUAAUGGGAUAUUUGGGAUACACUGUGACAUUGUAUCGGAUGAAGGAAAUCACAUCAAAGAAAUGUUGCAGCAGUUUGUCGAAUGAGCUCAAACUUGGUUAGAUCAGAAUGGGACGGGUGUCUUCUCUCUGAUAUUUUGUUUAAAAAAGUCAUCUUCACUGGUAAGCCUAUCAGUAAGAAUUACGAGCACGCGGUACCUGUUGAACAGUUCUAACACGCCCGAAGCGCAGGCGAGGGCGUUAGGACUGUUCCAAUGGUAAAAAUGUUUGUACCUGUUCUAAUACCUGAGCAGAAUUAUGUGUAUUAUUUGUUUUAUAAGAUAAUGAUAUGCAUCUCUAUACUUUGAUAAACCUUCCUCUUCUCUCAUCACACAUUGUGUGCCGGACUUUAGACUUACGAUAAACUUCUGCGACGCGUUUAUCGGUCAAAAAGAUUGUUGUGCGCAUGCGCAAGACAGAGGAUACGUGUUCUGCGAAAGCGCAUAAUCAUAAUUUUGGCAAAUAACCGCGACCCCGAAGUUGUGUCACAAUCUCCAAAAUCACAAACAGCCACAUCUGUGAACUAUUCCAUUUGCAGUGUUAAACGUUAUCAUUGAAAACAUUAUGCUAGAGGCCUAACCUCUUUUUGCCUAAAUUCUGCGGGUACGGUUUUAAAAGAAGGUUCUGAAAAUAAAAUAUGUUUACCUCGGAAAUGCAUUUCAACACGAUCUUGAACGCAAAACAAGCCUAAUCUUAUUUUGUUCCCCACUGUCCUCGAGCGAAACACAUCUUGGAAACGUACCUCAUUCGCACCUCAUCAAAAUUACUUCCAAUUUAGGAUAAAACUUUCGCACCUUCUGGGCUGAGAAAUCUGUUCACGAUUAUUUUGUGUAAAGUGUAAACGCCCCACGGCAUACCACACCUGAGCAGUGGGGGUCGCUUUCACCAAAAUAUUUACUUGCAAGCAGCAUGGGGGUCAGUGUAAGCAUGAAGCCAUCUCGUGUGGUAGACCAUUGACCCAUAUGUCCAUGGGCAGACAAGAGAUUUGAAGAGAAAAAAAAAACGAAGAGAGACGACGAGAGUGUUAAAGAGACGACAAGUGUUAGAGAGAGACGGACAGAGAUGCAGAGAAAGUGAUAUAAAUGGAGACAUUAUAGGCGGAGACCGAGAACAAGACAAAGAAAGGGAGACAGGUAAAGACACAGAGAGACAACGAAAGACAAUGAGAACGACUGUAUAAUCUUGGGAAUUAAGUCAACUUCAAAAUGUCAAGCCAAUCGAUUUUUUUUUUUUAUAAACAGACACUCGAAAUUAACUCUUUUACCUCAUUUAUCUUCAAGUUGAUAGAUAGAUGGAGAAACGUGAUUUAUGAAAUGUGAUUAUCAAAAACGAAACUAGAGAGUUUAACAGACAAAAUUUCAUGUUUGAAAGCCUUUCUUCUAUAACUAUACAAUUUACAUAUUUUCAUUGAAAUCAUAUAUCUUCGUUCAUAUCCAUAUCAAAUCAUUGUCUGGGAAUGUGUUAAUUAUGUAUGUCUAACGAAUCGGCAAAGCAUAGGUUUUUUUUUAUUUGUUUACUUUUAUAAAAUACUGGUUUUUGGUUUGUUUCUGUUGAUGUGCGAAAGUGCAGCUGUACAACGAAGGAGGAGAAGUUCUAAACUUCUUGGUACAAUUUUUCCAGCCAAGAACCCCACCACCCCCCCCCCCCCCGAUCGAUCUCCCUGCUAAAACGAAUAAAACCCGAAUAUUUUGCCAGUCGUGAUUUACAGAUAAAGACAAACAUUGUGACAUUUAUAGGUCGUGAGUUUGACUUGACCUUCAGCAAACCAACUUGUCUCGAGCAAUUCCUGAUUUUUUCCUAAAAAUAUGAGACGGAGGACUAUUAUAUUCUCCGUUUUCCGUCUUUGUUGACGAGUCUGAACAGCUGCUCAGAAAUGUCUUCGUAAAAAUCGGUCCCCCAACUUUGCAAGGUGAAUCCAUUCUCACGGCAACGUACGAAUAACGAUCAGUUUACAAGAUUCAUUUCUAAAAUCAAUAUUUAAUUCACGAAUUCGUGAGAAAAUCGCGCGGUUUAUCGCUAGUUGACAUUUGGCAGUGCUAGAAGUCGUUUUCCAUAUAACGUGUAACCGUCAGUGAUUAAAAAACAAGAGCGGGGUGCCACGGGGGGGGGGGGGUAAGGACGAAUGUGAUAGUAAAGAUAACACAGACAGAAAGAGGCAAAUGCCUGUUAAGAUUUGA